rnacentral:rRNA from 1 species
CCUACGGGCGGCAGCAGUAGGGAAUAUUCGGCAAUGGGGGGAACCCUGACCGAGCAACGCCGCGUGAAGGAAGAAGUUAUUCGUAAUGUAAAGUUCUUUUAACAGGGAAGAAAGAGAAAUUUGACGGUACCUGAAGAAUAAGCUCCGGCUAACUACGUGCCAGCAGCCGCGGUAAUACGUAGGGAGCGAGCGUUAUCCGGAAUUAUUGGGCGUAAAGGGUGCGUAGAUGGCAUAGUAAGUCUUUUGUAAAAAUGCUGGGCUCAACCCAGUAGGGCAAAAGAUACUGCAAAGCUAGAGUAUGACAGAGGCAAGUGGAACUACAUGUGUAGCGGUCAAAUGCGUAGAUAUAUGUAAGAACACCAGUGGCGAAGGCGGCUUGCUGGGUCGAUACUGACAUUGAGGCACGAAAGCGUGGGGAGCAAACAGGAUUAGAUACCCUAGUAGUC